AGCCUCUGCCGCUGGUAGCAGAACGAGGGAUGGACGCUGACCGAGCCGAUGGAGGAGGGCGCCCCCCUGAGGUGGAGGAUGAGUUUGCGUGUGCAGGGAUGCUGCGGGGGUCUCUCACCUCGCUGCACCGCACCGUGGAGCGGAUCUUCACCGUGACCUUUGGGAUCGGGGCAGACGACUUGCCCCCCCGGGCUCCAGAUGUGUGAACUAGUUUCUGACCCCUGAUCAGUAAAAGGUGAAGUUGUGUUGUUGUUGCUGUUGGUGCGAGUCUCCAGUUCACUGAGAGACCAGGCAGGGUUCGGGGGGAAGUGACUCAUUCAGAUGAAUUGAUUAAAGAGACUGAGUUCUGUUAUCUGAUCAACACACACACACACACACACACACACACACACACUGUGUUCCCUGAUCAACACACACACACACACUACACACACCAGUGCUGUAGCUCUGCUGAACAACAUUAGGCCUCAAACAACAACACAAAAGUUGACUAAGCUGAAUGCACAUGUACUUCCUGGUUGCUCCGACUGUUAUAUACUAGAUAUCUUUUAUUUCCACUUAAGUACAUUUAGUGAAGUUCUGUCAAGUGAGACGCAAAGGCUCUGAAGCUCCUCCUUCUGUUUGUCUCGUCUCCUCUGCUCCCGCUAAACAGGAAGAGAAAUAAGUGAAUCAGGAAGUGAAGGAUCAGUCUCAAGUGGUUUUGAUGUGUCAUGUUAAUGUUGUGCAGCGUCAGCGUGACACGUUUGUGGAGAUAUUUGAUAUUUACCAGUUUAUACAGCACUUCAUAGACGGCAUCAUUAAUUCCAGGUUCCUGCCUCUCAUACAGUUUCUCUGUGAUGUUUGUACAUUCUGACAGAAAGAUUUCAUGUUAGAGCACAAACGAGUAAAGGUUUAGUAUUUGUCUGUGUUUGUUAAUCCCUAAGUUCCCACCCAAACUAAAACUUCAAAGUGCACGUUAAAUAUAUUGUAUUAUUUGUGUUAUGCUCAGUAGUUUUCCCAGGCUGAAUGAAGUGCUCUUCUCACCCAAGGAUGAGGGUCUUUGGGUGGAACUGGUCUCCCAGCAUUUUUCCAUGAGCUCCACCAGUCCCCUCAGCUCCACCUGGUUGCUGAGCUCUUCCAGUGAUGGUCGUUGUCCCUUGGGGAUCAGGAACACCACAAGGCUGGGUUUUACAUCUAGAGUAGGGAGGAGAUUAUAAAAACAGGUUGUGGAGACUGUGACCUGUUGAGCUUAGAUGAAAUGUUUUAAGAGUCGACACUUUAAUGUAGAAUCUAAUUUGAUAAAAAAUCUAAUUUAAUUUUUGUAUUAAAGCUGCAUUGACCAAAUAUUAACAACAGAAUAAACACGAAUGAUGACAAAAUCUGCAUUUGAGUUCAUCCGGAUAUAGAAUCAUUUUUUUACUCUAAACUUUGGCACCCCCUUGUGGUAGAAUAGAAAGUGUAAUUAUUAAGGCACAUUUUUCAUCAAAAGAUGAAUUUUGAAAGAUGUAGAGAUUUAAACCCCCCAAUUAAAUAACUUUGGUCUAAUUAGUUUGAUUUGUUCAAAUAGUAGUUAAUAUCAAGAAUAUAUGUUUAUUCGAUUUUGAAUGAAAUAAGACUGAAAAUAGCAGCACGUGGCUCAAUGACACACAGAGAAUACAAAGGAUGAGAGAGAAGCUAUGAAACAGCAAAUCAUCACUUACAUGGAUAUGGUUGUUUCCCUGUGGCGAUGGACCACAGCAGGAUACCAUAGCUGGAACAAAGAGAAGGUUAAAGACCACGAUCACCACACAUAACACGUCUCCCUUAAAGUUACACAGCAACUAAAAUAGUUACUCAAGCCUGGUUCUCGUACCUGUAGAUAUCAAAGGAUCGUGAAGGUUUGUAAUUUAUGUCAAAAGCCUCCGGUGGCAUGUAGCUGAUCGUCCCUGCCCCGUCUUCUAAAUCCUUCUUGGAAACCUGAGCCUGAGUCUGACUCGGCUUAGAAAGGCCAAAAUCUGUGAGCUGGAGAAGAAGGAGCAGUGAGGGACACAAGUAGUAUUAUUGUCUCGCUCAUAACAUUAAGUUUCCAUAAAAAAACUGCAAUACCAGUAUCAAGUGAGCCUCACACUCACCUUGACAUUGAGAUCUGAGUCCAGCAGCACGUUGCUGGGCUUCAGGUCCAGGUGGAGGAUUGGAGAGAGGAGGCUGUGGAGGAAGUUUAUCCCCAGAGCCACCUGGUGAGCCAGCCUGAAGACCAGUGGUAACUGUUGAACUCUGUCGAAAGUUUUCUGUUCAAAAUGAGAGGAAUAAAGACAGCUGGGUUCAGCCUCUGAUAACGAGUCCACUUGUUUGUUUGUCAACAGGAGUAUUUGUGUAAUCCUGCUGAAAAGAAAAAGCAACAAACAGACACAAGUGAAAACACAACGUCACAAAUGGAAGUAAACACUGGGAUCGUCCUGCAGAGCAAGAUUCAUCCUCGUGGAACCAUCACAAGUCCACGUGGAGAUGAUUCACCAGGGACUCCAGAGAUCCGUUCUCCAUGUACUUCAUGACCAGACCCAGCUGGGCUGAGAGUCCAGAGUUCGGCGUUCGACCAUUGAAGACGCCGAGGACCGGCAUAACAUAGUCGCUGCUUCCUUGACGCAUCAUUUCGACCUGCCGCAGCAAAGAUGAACUGGUCCUGUGUGUGUGUGUGUGUGUGAGGGUGUGUGACACGUCAGUAAAUCUCAAUUUCUUUUACUUGCAGAAAACCGAAAUCUUCGGUAGCUCACCCGUCAUAGUUAUGAAGCAGCUUAAUGGCCACGUUGUAGCACCACCGCUUAUGCCAGGCUUGGAAGAUUUCUCCAAAUCCCCCAUCGCCGAUCCAAACCCAGUUACUGAAUCUGUAGUCUUCCAUCAUCACUGGAGCUGGAAGAGACCUGUUCAUUGGAAGAGGAACUCCUUCAAGGUCCAUUGUAAUUUUGUAGAAUUUAUUGGAAAGGAGGUAACACCGAGAGAAGCAGGUCAUUUAAAUAAUUUCCACUCGAUUAAAACCAGAGUUAAUCUCCAAUAAGGAGCUGAGCUGAAUGACAGUUGACAUGUAAAUGGUAGAUGGAAUGGAUUCAAGAGCUCUUUUCUAGUCCUAUUGACCAAUCUUCAUAUUCACACACAAUACGGCCCUUGAGGCAGUUUAUUGUUCAGGUUCUUGCAGACGAGUGCUUGAGAUACUUCAUGAACCAGGGAAAUUAUCAAAUCCUGUUAACUUUAGACUUUGGUAAUGUAAUGUCAAUGUAUCAGAUCAUGUGAUACAAACCUAUAUAUGUAUUUCUUUAUUGGAUAAUUGGAUUAUUAUAUCUCGAUAACUUCAUUCUUUCUGUUAAUAAAAGGAAAAGAACUUAGUUAACUAAAAGUGGCCCAUGGAAACUUCCUCGAGCUGAUGCCUAGCGAAGCUGUGAACGACAAUCUAAAACCUAAGAACCUUAAAGAACAGGAAAUCCUUAAGUUCAAGACCCUGAACCAGAAAAUAUUGGACAUUUUUUGGUUGAUGUUUGUCUUAAAUAACUAAAUGUAAUAUUUGUCAUUGAGAAUCUCUUUUAAAAAUCCUUUCUUUAACUCAGAAGUGAACCUCCUCACCUGUUCUUCCUGCUUCCUGGAUGCGGUGAUGGGGAGUUGACAGGAGAUGGCGCUGUUGGGAGUCGCUUCCUCUCUGAAGGCUCCUUGUUGAUGUACAGGGUGUUUUCGUUGCCGCAGUGGAUGUGAAAACAACAAACGAACCAAAUUAGUUCAAAGUAGAGAAGAGAUAAGACUAAAACUGUGACCAGGCUUUAAACGGACAGCUGAAAAUGUCUAAUACCGAUCAAAAUAUAUUAGUAUUUCAUCCUCAUUUCUGUAAUUCUUCCUGGAUAUUCAAACAUUUUCACAAAUAUAAUGAUCUUUAUGAUCAUACAUGUUUUGCGUAGUAAUGUUCUGAAUAAAGUGUGUGAAAGCACGAUAUAGAGGACGUAGGGUAACUUCUCUUCUGUGAUUGGUUAUUCAUUCUCUGUUGCAUGUGAUUAAUGUUAAAUGUGUGUUUCUUAAGUUUAGAGACAUUAAGGUAAUUUCUUACAUCUACCCAGAACGGUUGUGGGGGAUUCUUUAAAUCCCUCAGGGGAUUCUUAGCUGCACCGGCCUGACGUGACCUCGUGGUGGAAGGAGGCGCCAGCGAUUCACCGAUGGGCCGAACAGAGGAAGCUUUGGGUUUAUGGUCGUCUGUGGACGAGCGGGUCAUGUCAACAUCACACAUGCUUGCUUGUCGGGAUGCCGGCGGUUCUGAGAGGGAACACACAAAUGUUAAAAGCUGAAGCUGUGGUAGAUGAUUUGUUUCUCUUGAUCAUGACCUCAAAGUAAAGUUCCUCAUCCAGCUCCAACUUCCUGUUUACCUUUGACCCUUUGAUUUGAGAUCCUCCCAGGGACCACUUCCUGCAACAGAAGGAAGUAAAGGUUCUGUUUGUGAGUUGUUUACAAUGAACCACUCAACCAUUAAACACUAAAACGACCAGUUGCAUAUACAUGCUCAUCCCUUAAUGAGAUGUUUGCUACUGAUAAUCGAAACUCAGCCGACGGUAACGUCCAUGAACUUGUGUUUUAAAAGACACACAGAGAAAAAAACUACUGCAAAUCAAAACAUAGAAAAUACAUAUUUAAAAGAACACCGAUUCUCAUCAAAGUAUCACAUAAGCACUAUAACAAUACUAAGAAAGGAAAAGUAAUUAAUUUGAACGUUUACUAGCAAAAUACAAUCAAAGAAUCAGAAGUAAAAAUCCUUGUUUUGCAAAAAAUGUUAUAUGCAGCGUGAUAUGUAUAUUAUAGUAUGACAUAAAUUAAAUAUAUGUGCAAAUUUA